rnacentral:rRNA from 1 species
AUUGAACGCUGGCGGCAUGCCUUACACAUGCAAGUCGAACGGUAACAGGUUAAGCUGACGAGUGGCGACCGGGUGAGUAAUGUAUCGGAACGUGCCCAGUCGUGGGGGAUAACUGCUCGAAAGAGCAGCUAAUACCGCAUACGACCUGAGGGUGAAAGCGGGGGAUCGCAAGCCCUCGCGCGAUUGGAGCGGCCGAUAUCAGAUUAGGUAGUUGGUGAGGUAAAGGCUCACCAAGCCGACGAUCUGUAGCUGGUCUGAGAGGACGACCAGCCACACUGGGACUGAGACACGGCCCAGACUCCUACGGGAGGCAGCAGUGGGGAAUGUUGGACAAUGGGCGCGAGCCUGAUCCAGCCAUGCCGCGUGCGGGAAGAAGGCCUUCGGGUUGUAAACCGCUUUUGUCAGGGAAGAAAAGGUUCUGGCUAAUACCUGGGACUCGUGACGGUACCUGAAGAAUAAGCACCGGCUAACUACGUG